rnacentral:lncRNA from 10 species
GCUCCUUCAGAGAAAGCCAAAUGGAGGUUUAAAAGUCCUUUCCAUUUCCCUACCAAAACAAAAGCAACAAAAAAGAAAAUUAAAAAUCCUCAUUCUCUGGAAAUGCUUGAAGAAGGGAAAAAAUAAAUUGGAGAUACAAUGAUUGGCAAAAAUGACAUCUUUAUUUAUUUUUAAUAAAAGAUAAAUGUAAUGUAGAGCCAUGGCCUUAUUCUUCUAAACUUCUGUGGGACUUACACAGUUUAUUAUGUAAGUCUCUGUAAUUCAAGUUACCCGGAAAGUUCAAUUUCAUGUGUGAUUAUUAUUGCCUAUUGAAAGUGCAUCUGAUUUGUUAUAACAGGAACCCUGUAGGGGAAAUAAUUGUAUGUUGUUAGCAAUGAAUAUAUGUAAACCUUUAAAAAUGAAUUAAUGUUUUUGAUAUAGCAUGUUUAAUUCAAGCUAGUCUGUGUUCAAUUAUUGGAAGCAGGGAGUGAACGCUCUAAGAAAUAAAAUAACCUAGGGUGAAACACCUUAUUUUAUGAAAAACUAAUUUUUAGGAGCAUUUUCUUUUAUACUAUGUAAAAAAAUCCCUGAAAGAUGAACAGACUUUGACAGCUGUUAUAGGUGAGAGCCUCAAGUAAAGAUAAAAUUAAAUGUUUUCCUUAAAUGCUAUUGCCCAAAUAAUGAAUAUCCAUAAUUGAAAACUGAGAUUACCUUAUACUUUGCUUUGUUCUCUCUGCCAGAGUCCUACCCACUGUAUUAGUUGUUAGAGUUGUGGAACUUAACCGAAGCUUUCUCUGGAUUCCAGAUGUUUUAAGAAUAUUUUCAGCUGCAUGGCUUGACAGCCUUGGGAUUCCCUCACACAUUCACAGUCUUUUUUGGAUCAGUCUGAUGUGAGCAUGAAAACUGGGAGUUGUGGAGCCCACUUAGGAAAUGAUUGCAAUUGUCCAGGAGACAGAUGAUGGUAAUUAAGUUUCCAUCAGCCUGGAACUCAGGACAGAAGAUACAUAUUCUGUAUGUAGAGAAUCACUGGAGGUCAAAUGUCUUUGCCAAUUUGAGUUUUUCCACUUGAACAAGAAAAGACUGUCAAGGGAAAGCCAAUCAAUUUCACAAUGUUUAGGAUUGGGCAACAAAUAAAUCGAGUGUAAAAGAAGUCUGAUUCCUCAUUGCUGACAGGAAGACAGCCAUGGAUUGGGAAAAGAUUAGAGUGAAUCCUGUGAUGUUGGAUUGGGAUUGAAGAUACCGAAAAUAAACUCCUGGAUCCAUAUUUCACACCUUAAGAAAGCACUCCAACCCCCAAGGGCAUCAACUUCAACAGGAAAACUGACCCUUCAACUUACCAAAUCUUUGAAGUGACUAGUUGUAUAGUACAACAAGCAGAAAAUUUGCUAUGGAGGUUGUGUUAACUGUUGACAUUUAUGUGAGAUUUUUGCUGCAUAUUUGUUAGAAAAGGCUCAACAAAAUUAUAAUAAACAAUGAUUGUGUUAUUAAUUUUUUAACUGUUAUAUCAGUUAUAAAUGCUUGGAAUGAAAAUGCCUUAAGGAAAUUAGUCAAUAAUGUCACAUAUGUUACUUUUUCUAAUUGGAUCUGCCAUGAUUGCUAUAAAACUUUGUCCUUCCACUAUGACUCAUGAGUAACUUCAAUAACAAACUGCUUGGGAAUUCCCAAUGCCACAGUAGAACUAGUAUAUGCAAACAUUAUUUAUUAUCAGGGUGCACAUAAAGGGAAACUAGGACAAAAACCUACCCUGUUUCAAUUUGAUCUUGUUCUCUUAAGCAUGGAAAAAGAAUACUUGUUGCUAUAACUCAACAACUAAAACUCUUGUUUCUCAGGAGAAAAUGCAAAAAGAAAACCAGUUUAUUUGUCAUUUUUGGUUUUGCAAAUGCUAAUCAAAGUUGGUCUUUAUGCAAUGCAAUUUUUCCCACUCUUAAAACUGACUGAUAACAGCAAAUCAGACUGAACCUAAAAAUGACUCCUUCAAAAGUACUAAAAGCCUGUGUGCUUAUGUUUAUAUAUUUGUCUGUGAAUGGGGACCAAAUCCUUUUAUAUGCUGGGGAAGAAAAUUCCUUGACUCUUGGUCAUUAGCAAGUCAGUGUACUUGGGUGCUCAUGUCACUAAAAUACCUCAUUUAUCCCUCCAAUAACACCUUCUUCUGGCCAGAAGGAUUAUAUUUAUCCUGUUUCAAAAGGGAAAAUCCUGGAGCACCUGAGGCAUAAAUAUGUCAUCUUCUGCCCAAUUAGUGUUUUUUUGUUUGUUUGUUUGCUUUGCCUGGAGUAGAACAUGGAGAAAUAUGAUCAUGAUUACUGAUUUCUCUCAAAUCCUAGGCAACCUAGCUGAUACGGUUUAUCUCUGUGUCCCCACCCAAAUCUCAUCUCAAAUUGUAAUCCCCACAUGUUGAGGGAGGGGAGUGAUUGGAUUAUGGGGGCUGUUUCCCUCAUGCUGUUCUUGUGAUAGUGAGUGAAUUCUCAUAAGAUCUGAUGGUUUUAUAAAUGGUAUUUUUUCCUGUGUGCUCGCUUCUGUCUCCUGCCACCAUGUGAAGAAGGUCCUUCCUUCCCCUUCACCUUCCACCAUGAUUGUAAGUUUCCUGAGGCUUCUCCAGAUGUGUGGAACUGUGAGUCAAUUAAACCUUCUUCCUUUAUAAAUUACACAGUCUUUGGAAGUUCUUUAUAGCAGUGUGAAAAUGUACUAAUACACUAACCUAUUCAACUGUCAAAGUUAUUGCCACUCAGUAAUAAUCUUUAAAUUCAUUAGCAGCAACUGUAUUAAAUAACAGAAUUACUCUAGAUUAUCUGUUGGCAGUACAGGGAAAUGUUUGUGGGAUAGUUAACAACUUACGUUAUACUUGGGAAAAUGCCUCUGAAGUAGUUGAACUGGAGCUCAAUAAAAUUAGUUUAGGCAGGUCGGCUAAGACAAGUGCCAUCUAUUGGUAAGCCAUCCUUUGACUUAUUUAGUUGUUACCAGAAAGGAUACAUUCCUUGACUAGAUCCCUGUUACAACUUAGUAUCAUUAUAACAUUAUUGUUUCUUUUUUAAAACUGUUCACUAAGUUCUUGGAAAACAUUAUUGUUUCUGAUAAUUUUGUUGAUCUGUAAGUAUUUGUCUCAAUGCUUAGAACAAGCACUAAUGCUGCCCACUGAUUUGAUGUUGGCCCAGAUUCCUGUAGCCUGUUCUGAACAUCCAGAAGGAACUUACAGCACCUAGAAUUAUAAGCUUGACUGAGUCUAUGAAAUAGCUUGUAAAUUCACUUCCCUGUGAGCCAGGGACCCAGAACAGAUAGUCUUACUUCACCCUGGCUUUUGCAGGACAAGAUGGAGCUCAUACAGCAUUGAUUUCGUCAGUGUCUAGGGACCUGUGGUGAUCACAGAUAUUCUCUCCUGGGAGAAAUAUCUUGAUCAAAUGAGGGAAAUGUGAGCUUAUCAAUGUUCCACACUUGCCAUCAGUAAUUUCAUCUUUGUCUACUGACUUCACAUUAAUACUGCCGAUGAACUUUGAGAUCUACAAAGUAACACUUCCUUCACAAAUAUUUGUACUCUCAACAGUACACACUAUAAAGAAACCGGUCACUAUCUUUAAGAACUUUAUAUAUAUAGCUUUUCUGACAAACUGAUGUAAUUUAUUCACGUUUAAUCAACUAAUGAAAUAAUCUGACAAACAAUAUAUGUAAACUAAAUAAGUUUUUCUCAAUGUAAGCCCUCUUUCCUCUUUCAGGUGGUGCAGUCUCUGGCUGCUAACUGGGUUGUAAUCCCUGUUCCUGAAUAAAUGUUUAUUUGCCUCUAGCCUGUUCAU